CUAACCAAUCAUAAGUUUAUACCUUCGAUAACGCACGCCGAGUUCCUUUUAGAACAAAGCGGCACGGAAUGUCGACUCGAUUGCAACUCGAUUUACAAUCGAUUGUUUAUAUUUUUACUCUGCUCCUUGCAUGUUGAUGUUUGCCGUGUGCUUUGCGAGUUAACUCUGCUCUUAUUUCAAGGACCCGUAGAAUUGUUUAUGUUGUAAAAAUGGUCCGUGACUGCAAAAAGUUUAAGAAACCCUGGUAUAGUGAAUUACAGCGGGCUGAUAAUGUGAUGACGAUGAUGAUGAGACUCAUUUCGAAACGGGCGAUGAAAAGGAGCCAUAUUUCACUACAGCGCCAGAUAUUGGAAGGCGCUUUCAAAGAAUAGCUCAGAGAUGGAUGCCAAGAAGGUUAAAGCUGGUCCUGGAUGAAUCUUCGAACAACCACGGUCCAAUCUGAUGCUUGUUUGCAAAUAAGUGUAAAGCAAGCCUUAGGAGGCAUUAUGCACCAUCUAAUGCAACCAUAAAAACCUGGCCCGCCUCUAAGUCGCCAUACACUCAAUCUUAGUUGACUGUAUGAUUGACCAAGUACUAGUUGCAACCGAAGCAUUCGAGCGACAAUUAUAUUGUAAUGCAGCCAUUAUAGGUAUUGUGGUAGCGUCAGCAAUAUCAUCUAAUUGAACUUUUCAUUCGAUCUCAUUAUAAUUAUCAGAAAGAUUAAUUUUAGGAAAUUUUAAUAAAAAGAAAAUAUAAAUCGGUUUUUUCUUUUUUUUCUUCUGUGCAAUA